rnacentral:rRNA from 1 species
UAAUUGAAGAGUUUGAUCAUGGCUCAGAUUGAACGCUGGCGGCAGGCCUAACACAUGCAAGUCGGGCGGUAACAGGGGGAAGCUUGCUUCUCUGCUGACGAGCGGCGGACGGGUGAGUAAUGUAUGGGGAUCUGCCUGAUGGAGGGGGAUAACUACUGGAAACGGUAGCUAAUACCGCAUAAUGUCUUCGGACCAAAGCGGGGGACCU